rnacentral:rRNA from 1 species
CCUACGGGAGGCAGCAGUGAGGAAUAUUGCGCAGUGGCCGAAAGGCUGACACAGCGACGCCGCGUGAAGGAUGAAGUUCGUUAGAAUGUAAACUUCUUUUGUAGGGGAUGAAUGUUCCGUUUUACGGAAUUGACCGUACCCUGCGAAUAAGGAUCGGCUAACUACGUGCCAGCAGCCGCGGUAAUACGUAGGAUCCGAGCGUUGUCCGGAUUUACUGGGUGUAAAGGGCGUGUAGGUGGGUCUUUAAGUCGGUGGUGAAAGCCCGCAGCUCAACUGCGGAAUUGCCAUUGAUACUGAAGGUCUUGAGUACGGCAGAGGGAAAUGGAAUUCAUGGUGUAGCGGUGAAAUGUGUAGAUAUCAUGAAGAACACCGGUAGCGAAGGCGGUUUCCUGGUCCGUAACUGACACUGAGGCGCGAAAGCGUGGGGAGCAAACAGGAUUAGAUACCCUGGUAGUCCACGCCUUAAACGAUGAAUACUAGGUGCUGGGCCGUAAGGUUCAGUGCCAAAGCUAACGCAUUAAGUAUUCCACCUGGGGAGUACGAUCGCAAGGUUGAAACUCAAAGGAAUUGACGG